AGWGACCUGCGGAGGAUCAUUACAUAUGUCCGGGAUGUCCAAUGGGGCUCCCAAGCAAAACACAUCCAUGUGUACACUCCCAUGUUGCUUCCCCAGAUCAGUGGCCACUGCUGCCAGCCCUGCCCUUCAUGGCAUUUCGGGUUGAGGUGUCUGGGGAAGGGUCCAAUAUCAAACUUUUGAACAAAUCAGUUGUCUGAGAAGGCCAUCCGCCGCAAAUUUUAAAAAUAUAUUAAAAACUUUCAACAACGGAUCUCUUGGCUCUCGCAUCGAUGAARAACGCAGCGAAAUGCGAUAAGUAAUGUGAAUUGCARAAUUCAGUGAAUCAUCGAAUCUUUGAACGCACAUUGCGCCCUUUGGUAUUCCUUAGGGCAUGCCUGUUCRAGCGUCACUAAAACCACCUCACAUAUAAUGUGGUAUUGGUAGAAGUGGGUAGUGCUAAAAGCACCUUGUCCUACUCUACUGAAAUGAAUAGGCCARAAAAGUGAACCAUGGUAGUAGACUCUCARAGUGUUUUAAUAUACUAAACUAGUCUUAGCCAGGUUGGAAUCUGAGUUCCCGGACCCCCAUUUAGUCUAAAUAAGAGAGGUUGACCUCGGAUCAGGUAGGGAUACCCGCUGAACUUAAGCAUAUCAAUAAGGCGGAGGAA
rnacentral:rRNA from 1 species